rnacentral:rRNA from 1 species
GACGAACGCUGGCGGCGCGCCUAACACAUGCAAGUCGAACGAGCGAGAGAGAGCUUGCUUUCUUGAGCGAGUGGCGCACGGGUGAGUAACGCGUGAGGAACCUGCCUCUAAGAGGGGGACAACAGUUGGAAACGACUGCUAAUACCGCAUAAGCCCACGGUGCCGCAUGGCACAGAGGGAAAAGGAGCAAUCUGCUUUGAGAUGGCCGCGCGUCCGAUUAGCUAGUUGGUGAGGUAACGGCCCACCAAUGCGACGAUCGGUAGCCGGACUGAGAGGUUGAACGGCCACUUUGGGACUAGGACACAGCCCAGACUCCUACGGGAUGCACGAGUGGCGAAUAGUGCACAGUGGGGGAAACCCUGAUGCUGCGACGCCGCGAGGAGGAUGAAGGUCUGCGGAUUGAAAUCUCCAGGUGUUGAGGAAGAUAAUGACGGUACCUAAUAAGAAAGCGACGGCUAACUACGUG